AUUGAACGCUGGCGGCAUGCCUUACACAUGCAAGUCGAACGGUAACAGGGCUUCGUGUGCUGACGAGUGGGGAACGGGUGGGUAAUACAUCGGAACGUGCCCGAUCGGGGGGGAGAACGAGGCGAAAGCUUUGCUAAUACCGCAUACGAUAUACGGAUGAAAGCGGGGGAUCUUCGGACCUAGCGGGGACGGAGCGGCCGAUGGCAGAUUAGGUAGUUGGUGGGAUAAAAGCUUACAAAGCCGACGAUCUGUAGCUGGUCUGAGAGGAUGAUCAGCCACACUGGGACUGAGACACGGCCCAGACUCCUACGGGAGGCAGCAGUGGGGAAUUUUGGCAAAUGGGCGAAAGCCUGCUCCAGCCAUGCCGCGUGCAGGAUGAAGGCCUUCGGUUUGUAAACUGCUUUUGUACGGAACGAAAAGCCUCUUUCUAAUAAAGACGCGUCAUGACGGUACCGUAAGAAUAAGCACCGGCUAACUACGUG
rnacentral:rRNA from 1 species